AAUAAAGGUAGAGGUGCAAAAUUUAAAAGUAAUUUAUGGAGUUGGCAAACUAUGAAGUAAAUGAAAGGAAAUUUUGCCGAAAUUAAGCUUGUGCAAAAGCUUAGUUGGGUGUAUAGAUAAUAUCUAUAUAACUGUCACUAAAAAUUAGUGUUGAGCUAUCCUAGUA
rnacentral:ncRNA from 1 species